rnacentral:rRNA from 1 species
GGCGAGGACGCCUGGAAUGGUUCUUCACUCAAAGGGCUUUGGAAACAUGCUUUUCAAAGUCGCCUGGGGAUGGGGCCGCGUCCGAUCAGGUUGCUGGUGAGGUAAUGGCUCACCAAGCCUAUAACCGGUACGGGCCGUGAGAGCGGUAGCCCGGAGAUGGGCACUGAUACAAGGGCCCAUGCCCUACGGGGCGCACCAGUCGCGAAAACUCCGCAAUGCACGAAAGUGUGACGGGGCUACCCCGAGUGCCGUCCGCUGAGGAUGGCUUUUCCUCGGUGUAACUAGCCGGGGGAAUAAGGAGAGGGCAAGACUGGUGUCAGCCGCCGCGGUAAUACCAGCUCUCCGAAUUGUAGGGAUGAUUAUUGGGC